rnacentral:tRNA from 1 species
GGGCGUGUAGCUCAGCGGUAGAGCGCCGGUCCCAUAAGCCGGUGGUCGCAGGUUCGAUCCCUGCCGCGCCCAC